GCAAAUGCAGUGAAAAAGAGGAGUACCUCUUACAGCCUGUCUUUUAGAGAGCGAACCAUCUGGUGCAAGGUUUGCAGGCAGGGAAGAGGGAAGGUCGCUUUGGAGCUGGAAUAUUGAAAUUCAGUAAAUAUUCCCGGGACGUCCCGUUAUCGGCGAAAAGUGCGCAGAACUGCUGCGAAUUUAGGUGGUACCACGGAAAUCUACGGUUUUCGUCCUAUUG
rnacentral:ncRNA from 1 species